UUUAAAGUCUAACCUGCCCAAUGAGGAGUUGAAUGGCCGCGGUAAUUUGACCGUGCAAAGGUAGCAUAAUCAUUAGUUUUUUAAUUGAAAGCUGGAAUGAACGGUUGGACGAGAAAAUAACUGUCUCAAUAUAAUUGUAUAUAGAAUUUUAUUUAUAAGUAAAAAAGCUUAUAUAAUUUUAAAAGACGAGAAGACCCUAUAGAGUUUUAUAUUUAAUUAUAUUAAUUAGGGUUAGUAUAUUUACAUUUUUAAUAUAAUUAAAUAUUUUACUGGGGCAGUAGAAAAAUUGGGUAAACUUUUUUUAUUAUAUUUACAUUGAUUUAUGAUUGUAUGAUCCAUUAAUUAUGAUUAUAAGAUUAAAUUACCUUAGGGAUAACAGCGUAAUUUUUUUUUAGAGUUCUUAUCGAAAAAAAAGUUUGCGACCUCGAUGUUGGAUUAAAAUUAACUUUUGGUGCAGGGGCUAAAAGGUUAGGUCUGUUCGACCUUUAAAAUUUUACAUGAUCUGAGUUUAAACCGGCGUGAGCCAGGUUGGUUUCUAUCUUUAAAUAAACUAAAUACUUUAGUACGAAAGGAUUAGGUAUUUUUAAAAUUUAAUAUAUUUUGAAUAGGUUUA
rnacentral:rRNA from 3 species